rnacentral:snoRNA from 1 species
GGCCUCCUGCUGCUUACCACAAGCUGUGUUCUUAUACUGACUGUAUAGAUAAAGAGGAGAAAAGUAAACCUGCCCCCUACACAUCACAACCCAGGUCCUGUGCCUGGUCUAUAUGGUGAAUGGGAAGACAUGA